rnacentral:rRNA from 1 species
UAAGCGGAAGGAAAAGAAACUAACAAGGAUUCCCCUAGUAACGGCGAGUGAAGCGGGAAGAGCUCAAAUUUGUAAUCUGGCACUUUCAGUGUCCGAGUUGUAAUCUCGAGAAGUGUUUUCCGCGCUGGACCGCAUACAAGUCUGUUGGAAUACAGCGUCAUAGUGGUGAGAACCCCGUAACUGAUGCGGAUGCCCAGUGCUCUGUGAUACACUUUCGAAGAGUCGAGUUGUUUGGGAAUGCAGCUCAAAUUGGGUGGUAAAUUCCAUCUAAAGCUAAAUAUUGGCGAGAGACCGAUAGCGAACAAGUACCGUGAGGGAAAGAUGAAAAGCACUUUGGAAAGAGAGUUAACAGUACGUGAAAUUGUUGGAAGGGAAACGCUUGAAGUCAGACUUGCUAUUUGGAAUUCAGCCGCAAGGUGUAUUUUUCAAUUCGCAGGCCAGCAUCAGUUUUCGGGGGUGGAAAAGGGUUUGAGGAACGUAGCAACUCCGGUUGUGUUAUAGCCUCUUGCUGGAUUCAUCUUUGGGGACUGAGGAACGCAGCGCGCUUUUUGCAAGGCUCUCGAGCUUUUCGCGCUUAGGAUGCUGGUGGAAUGGCUUUAAACGACCCGUCUUGAAACACG